rnacentral:rRNA from 1 species
GACGAACGCUGGCGGCGUGCCUAAUACAUGCAAGUAGAACGCACAGUUUAUACCGUAGCUUGCUACACCAUAGACUGUGAGUUGCGAACGGGUGAGUAACGCGUAGGUAACCUGCCUGGUAGCGGGGGAUAACUAUUGGAAACGAUAGCUAAUACCGCAUAAUAUUAAUUAUUGCAUGAUAAUUGAUUGAAAGAUGCAACUGCAUCACUACCAGAUGGACCUGCGUUGUAUUAGCUAGUAGGUGAGGUAACGGCUCACCUAGGCGACGAUACAUAGCCGACCUGAGAGGGUGAUCGGCCACACUGGGACUGAGACACGGCCCAGACUCCUACGGGAGGCAGCAGUAGGGAAUCUUCGGCAAUGGACGAAAGUCUGACCGAGCAACGCCGCGGGAGUGAAGAAGGUUUUCGGAUCGUAAAGCUCUGUUGUAAGAGAAGAACGGGUGUGAGAGUGGAAAGUUCACACUGUGACGGUAUCUUACCAGAAAGGGACGGCUAACUACGUG